rnacentral:lncRNA from 1 species
AAUCCUUAAAAUUUUUGAAGAGAUGAUACUUUUUUAAUGUCACUCUCUAAUGCGUAACAUAAAUUAAAGAGCGUCAUGUUUUGCACGUCGUAAAAGGCUGUUUUUCUAGUAGUGUGAACCGAAAGUAGACGGAGAAUAUAAGGAGGUGGCUUAAGAACCGAAUGUACCUUCUGCUAGAUAAUCAUGACAGAGCAGAAUAACUCUUAACUCAUAUGAGAAGAGUAAGGUAGGUCUAGACCGAGUGNCGUGUUUUGCGCGUCGUAAAAGGCUGUUUUUCUAGUAGUGCUUGUUGCUAAGGUUUGGGUGUGAACCAUUAGAGGCGAACCACUUAUGGCACUUGCUUCCAAGAGUCUUUCAAGGAGGAAUACAAGAUUGUUUACAACAACAAUCGUUAAAAUAAGUUUCUUUGUCUUAUGAAUUAGUUUGUUCAUAGGAAUUUUUUUGUAUGCUAGUGUUCAUAGUAUGUUGCUAUAUGUGAAAGAAAAAAGAUCCUAUUAGGUUGCAUGUGCCCUAACCAUUUGAAUUGUUUAAAUGUUUCCUGCUUAGUGCAUUAGAGUUUUAACCCUAAUAACCCAUCAGUGGUAUCAGAGCCUUGGCUAUUAUUUCAUGUAUUUUCACAUUGGUGAAUCAAAAAGAAACCUGGUGUUUCAUUUUUCGCAGCUCACGACGUAAGCAAAGAGGCUCACGACAUGAGCUCAGUCAGAUCCG